rnacentral:lncRNA from 1 species
CGGUCGCUCCUGAACUCCACCCGAUGCAAGAAGUCGACUCAGACGAAUAGUCAGAGUAUCCGCCUGUUAUCUUUGUAUUUUCAUUUUUUGUUUAGUCUUUGAUAUCUGUAAUCGGGUCCCGUCUCAAUUUUGUAAUCGGGCUUCGACCCAAUUUUGUAAUCGGGCUUCGGUCCCAUUUUGUAAGUUGUUUUAACUUAACAAAAUCAAAGACUUUUUAUACUUUUUUUCGCGUGCGGUUGAAUGUGUUUGAUCGUCCGAGCCAUCUCCGAGUGCAUAGAUCGUAGCUCCGAUAUAUCUCAUUAGGAUGUUCGGUAGGGUCUAGCGUAGCCGAUCAAAGUAGUCAGUAGCGUGCGCCGUGCCAAGGACAGCGCAAGCCCCGAUCGCAAGUCAGCAUCCCGACCGUCAUACAGAUAGCAUAGGAUCUGAUGGUCGAGAGCCGUAUCGAUUGUAGGUCGAGUGUCCGCCGCUCGAACCUUGGUCGGGCAUGUACAUCAGGUCGAGUGUCAGCCGAUUACCGGAUGUAGCUUAUUGGACAGGAUAAUGAUGACAAGUCGAAUAUUCGUUGUUCGGCCCUUGGUCGGGCAUACACGUCGGGAGUAUGAUAAACGGUGGCAAGCCGAAUAUCCUUCGACUGGUUGUAACUAAGUCGGU